rnacentral:misc_RNA from 1 species
AAAACACGACUUAUUCAAAUCCAAGAUAGCAAGCUAGAGAUGCAAGAGAAAUCACUGUGUGAAUGGCAAGAUCUGCAAUUGCAUACGUAUGCAUUUUUUUUUCUUAUGGAACAUGAACUAAAAGCAAAUAUGGUUUAAGCCUUCUUGGUAAAAUUGAUUCUAAGCGGUUCCCUCAAUUUGAAUUAAAAGGGCCUUUUGAGGUCCUUGAAAUCUGAAGAAUCAAUACACUCCAAUCUCUCCCUAUGAGGGUUCAACAUCUUCAAUAAUUCAGUUGCUUUCUCUUUGGUUCUCUCCCCACAGCCAACCUGUAAGAGCAGCAAGAGCUUUUGAAAAGCACCCACUUGAAGAGCCUCAAGAAGAACACCUCCCUCUUGCCUCUUCUGAGCCUUGCAAAGCUUCCAUAAAAUGGAGACAGAGAACUCAGUCGCCAAAUCUGAAACUCUAUGAAUUUUCUUGACUAGAACUGGGAUAGUUAGAGAAUGGUCAUUCAUCUUCUCUCUCCCUUCAUCACAGCUACAGAUUCCAUCAAGAACGCCUAACCCCUUUUCGCAUACGCUUCUUUCGGUAUCUACAACCAUCUCUACCAGCAAUGAGAUCAAACCCAUAUCUACAAAUUUGGUAAUCGCAUUCACAUUUGUAGGGGUUGAUGUGACCAUCUGAUAAAUGGUCACCAGAGAAGCUUUUGUUGCAGCAGGACAAAUGGGUUCCUUAAUCAGCUUAAACAAUCCCUCUGUAGCUCCUUCAGUUGCUGAUAAAACCUCCAGUUUUUUGGUAUCCGACGAAACAAGCUCUUUAAGCACCAAAACUGCGUUUCUUCUCCCAGAUAAAUCUCCUCCCUUCAAGAACCAGACUAAACAAUCCAUGGAAGCAACCGAGCCAAGGUGGCUGUUGGCCUCUCCAUCAAGAGGGAACAUUAAUGUCAGAGUCGACAAUAUUUCCUCCAAAACCGUAGCAUUUUCACUGAAACAUGCUCUCGAGAACUCUUCAAAAGCAGCUGAUAAUACACUACCUGUCCCAUUACUCACAAAACGUUUUUUGUUCCUUUCGCUUUCCUUCAUCAGGGUCUUGAUCUCGGCCACCAAAUUUCGGCAUCCAACUUGAUCCCCUCCUUUACAAGCCGCUGCAGUAAUCUUUGCCUGAAUUUUCAAAACCUCAACAGAACUCACAGGAAUUCUAGGCGUAGGAAUCCUUUCAAUCCCAUAAGACCUAUUCUCCACGCACCAAUCUUGUAUCAUUUUACGUAUACUAUGAUUUGGUAUAGGCUCAAGACUCCUCAAAACCUGGUUGGUGAUGGGGCAGGUUACAUUCCCAGCCUCUAUCCACUUCUCUAUACUCUCACGAUCAUAAGUAAUCCCAGUCGACAAAGUCACCGGAUCCUUCAUCAAAUCCAACGAUAUAGGGCAGCGAAAAUCUUUCGGUAUGGCCAGCUCCAUGUCGAUGCAGUGUUCACCCUCUAGCCGCUGCUUCUCUGCUGCACGGCGGGCCGCCCUCCUCCUCCUCCAGGUAGAGAUCAUGAUGAAAUGCAAUAGUACUCAAGAAAUCAAAGAAAGCGUCUGUUCUUGCUGCGUUGUUUAAUUGGUGAUAGUUUCUUGUUAGAAAGGAGUAUAUAUAGAGAGAAGGUUUGUGCUGUGUCACAUGGGGACGAG